rnacentral:rRNA from 1 species
GUGGGGAAUAUUGGACAAUGGGCGAAAGCCUGAUCCAGCCAUGCCGCGUGUGUGAAGAAGGUCUUCGGAUUGUAAAGCACUUUAAGUUGGGAGGAAGGGCAGUAAGUUAAUACCUUGCUGUUUUGACGUUACCGACAGAAUAAGCACCGGCUAACUUCGUGCCAGCAGCCGCGGUAAUACGAAGGGUGCAAGCGUUAAUCGGAAUUACUGGGCGUAAAGCGCGCGUAGGUGGUUUUGUAAGUUGGAGGUGAAAUCCCCCGGCUCAACCUGGGAACUGCCUCCAAAACUGCAUGACUAGAGUACGGUAGAGGGUAGUGGAAUUUCCUGUGUAGCGGUGAAAUGCGUAGAUAUAGGAAGGAACACCAGUGGCGAAGGCGACUACCUGGACUGAUACUGACACUGAGGUGCGAAAGCGUGGGGAGCAAACAGGAUUAGAUACCCGGGUAGUCC